rnacentral:rRNA from 1 species
GAUGAACGCUAGCUACAGGCUUAACACAUGCAAGUCGAGGGGAAAUGACAUCGAAAGCUUGCUUUUGAUGGGCGUCGACCGGCGCACGGGUGAGUAACGCGUAUCCAACCUGCCCACCACUUGGGGAUAACCUUGCGAAAGUAAGACUAAAACCCAAUGACGUCUCUAGAAGACAUCUGAAAGAGAUUAAAGAUUUAUCGGUGAUGGAUGGGGAUGCGUCUGAUUAGCUUGUUGGCGGGGUAACGGCCCACCAAGGCGACGAUCAGUAGGGGUUCUGAGAGGAAGGUCCCCCACAUUGGAACUGAGACACGGUCCAAACUCCUACGGGAGGCAGCAGUGAGGAAUAUUGGUCAAUGGACGAGAGUCUGAACCAGCCAAGUAGCGUGCAGGAUGACGGCCCUAUGGGUUGUAAACUGCUUUUAUAAGGGAAUAAAGUGAGUCUCGUGAGACUUUUUGCAUGUACCUUAUGAAUAAGGACCGGCUAAUUCCGUG